UACAGAGGUCCCAAGCGUUGUUCGGAUUCAUUGGGCGUAAAGGGUGCGUAGGUGGCGUGGUAAGUGGGGUGUGAAAUCCCGAGGCUUAACCUCGGGACUGCAUUCCAUACUGCCGUGCUUGAGGACUGGAGAGGAGACUGGAAUUUACGGUGUAGCAGUGAAAUGCGUAGAGAUCGUAAGGAAGACCAGUGGCGAAGGCGGGUCUCUGGACAGUUCCUGACACUGAGGCACGAAGGCCAGGGGAGCAAACGGG
rnacentral:rRNA from 1 species